GAUGAACGCUAGCGGCAGGCUUAACACAUGCAAGUCGAGGGGUAACGAUGGUGCUUGCACCAGGCGACGACCGGCGAACGUGUGCGUAACGCGUAUAGAAUCUGCCUUGUACAGGAGGAUAGCCUUUAGAAAUGAAGAUUAAUACUCCAUAAUGUUAUUUGGUGGCAUCAUUAAAUAAUUAAAGAUUUAUCGGUACAAGAUGACUAUGCGUCCUAUUAGUUAGUUGGUAAGGUAACGGCUUACCAAGGCAGCGAUAGGUAGGGGGUCUGAGAGGAUUAUCCCCCACACUGGUACUGAGACACGGACCAGACUCCUACGGGAGGCAGCAGUGAGGAAUAUUGGACAAUGGGCGCAAGCCUGAUCCAGCCAUGCCGCGUGCAGGAAGACGGCCCUAUGGGUUGUAAACUGCUUUUAUACAGGAAGAAACGUAUCCACGUGUGGAUAUUUGACGGUACUGUAAGAAUAAGCACCGGCUAACUCCGUGCCAGCAGCCGCGGUAAUACGGAGGGUGCAAGCGUUAUCCGGAAUCAUUGGGUUUAAAGGGUCCGCAGGCGGUCGAUUAAGUCAGAGGUGAAAUCCCAUAGCUUAACUAUGGAACUGCCUUUGAUACUGGUUGACUUGAGUCAUAUGGAAGUAGAUAGAAUAAGUAGUGUAGCGGUGAAAUGCAUAGAUAUUACUUAGAAUACCGAUUGCGAAGGCAGUCUACUACGUAUGUACUGACGCUCAUGGACGAAAGCGUGGGGAGCGAACAGG
rnacentral:rRNA from 1 species